UACGUAGGGUGCAAGCGUUAAUCGGAAUUACUGGGCGUAAAGCGUGCGCAGGCGGUUCGCUAAGACAGAUGUGAAAUCCCCGGGCUUAACCUGGGAACUGCAUUUGUGACUGGCGGGCUAGAGUAUGGCAGAGGGGGAUGGAAUUCCGCGUGUAGCAGUGAAAUGGCGUAGAUAUGCGGAGGAACACCGAUGGCGAAGGCAAUCCCCUGGACCUGUACUGACGCUCAUGCACGAAAGCGUGGGGAGCAAACAGG
rnacentral:rRNA from 1 species